rnacentral:rRNA from 1 species
UGGGGAAUAUUGCACAAUGGGCGCAAGCCUGAUGCAGCCAUGUCGCGUGUGUGAAGAAGGCCUUCGGGUUGUAAAGCACUUUCAGCGAGGAGGAAGGGUGGUGUGUUAAUAGCACAUUGCAUUGACGUUACUCGCAGAAGAAGCACCGGCUAACUCCGUGCCAGCAGCCGCGGUAAUACGGAGGGUGCAAGCGUUAAUCGGAAUUACUGGGCGUAAAGCGCACGCAGGCGGUUUGUUAAGUCAGAUGUGAAAUCCCCGCGCUUAACGUGGGAACUGCAUUUGAAACUGGCAAGCUAGAGUCUUGUAGAGGGGGGUAGAAUUCCAGGUGUAGCGGUGAAAUGCGUAGAGAUCUGGAGGAAUACCGGUGGCGAAGGCGGCCCCCUGGACAAAGACUGACGCUCAGGUGCGAAAGCGUGGGGAGCAAACA